AUUGAACGCUGGCGGCAGGCUUAACACAUGCAAGUCGAACGAGUGGCGGACGGGUGAGUAAUGUUUGGUAAAUUGCCUGAUGGAGGGGGUUAACUACUGGUAACGGUAGCUAUCACCGCAUACCAUCGGAUGUGCCCAGAUGGGAUUCGCUAGUAGGUGGGGUGAAGGCUCAGCGAGGCGACGAUGCCUCGCUGGUCUGAGAGGAUGACCAGCCACACGUGAGCUGCGGCACGGUCCAGACUCCUACGCGCGGCAGCAGUGGGGAAUAGUGCACUAUGGGCGCAUGCCUGAUGGAGCCAUGCCGCGUGGAUGAAGGGGGGCUUAAGGUUGUAGAGUAGUAACAGCGGGGAGGCGUUACCCGCAGAAGAAGCACCGGCUAACUCCGUGCCAGCAGCCGCGGUAAUAC
rnacentral:rRNA from 1 species